UACGUAGGGGGCAAGCGUUGUCCGGAAUCAUUGGGCGUAAAGAGCACGUAGGCGGCCCGAUAAGUCCGCUGUGAAAGUCAAGGGCUCAACCCUUGAAUGCCGGUGGAUACUGUCGGGCUAGAGUCCGGAAGAGGCGAGUGGAAUUCCUGGUGUAGCGGUGAAAUGCGCAGAUAUCGGGAGGAACACCGGUGGCGAAGGCGGUUCUCUGGGCCUUACCUGACGCUGAGGAGCGAAAGCGUGGGGAGCGAACAGGAUUAGAUACCC
rnacentral:rRNA from 1 species